rnacentral:rRNA from 1 species
UACGAAGGGAGCUAGCGUUGUUCGGAAUCACUGGGCGUAAAGCGCAUGUAGGCGGAUGUGUCAGUCAGGGGUGAAAUCCCGGAGCUCAACUUCGGAACUGCCCUUGAUACAGCACGUCUUGAGUCCGGAAGAGGUGGGUGGAAUUCCUAGUGUAGAGGUGAAAUUCGUAGAUAUUAGGAAGAACACCGGUGGCGAAGGCGGCCCACUGGUCCGGUACUGACGCUGAGGUGCGAAAGCGUGGGGAGCAAACAGG